rnacentral:rRNA from 1 species
GACGAACGCUGGCGGCGUGCUUAACACAUGCAAGUCGAACGAAGUGGCGAACGGGUGAGUAAUACGUGGGUAACCUGCCCUCCUUUUUGGGAUAAGCCUUGGAAACGGGGUCUAAUACCGAAUACAGGGGGAUGGGCUCGCGGCCUAUCCGCUUGUUGGUGGGGUGAUGGCCUAACACGGCGGUGACGGGUCGCCGGCCUGAGAGGGUGACCGGCCACAGUGGGACUGAGAUACGGUCCAGACGCCUACGGGAGGCAGCAGUGGGGAAUAUUGCACAAUGGGCGCAAGCCUGAUGCAGCCAUGCCGCGUGUGUGAAGAAGGCCUUCGGGUUGUAAAGCACUUUCAGCGGGGAGGCGUUACCCGCAGAAGAAGCACCGGCUAACUCCGUGCCAGCAGCCGCGGUAAUUC